rnacentral:rRNA from 1 species
ACGGCUAACUACGUGCCAGCAGCCGCGGUAAUACGUAGGUGGCAAGCGUUGUCCGGAAUUACUGGGUGUAAAGGGAGCGUAGGCGGGAUGCCAAGUCAGCUGUGAAAACUAUGGGCUUAACUUGUAGACUGCAGUUGAAACUGGUAUUCUUGAGUGAAGUAGAGGUUGGCGGAAUUCCGAGUGUAGCGGUGAAAUGCGUAGAUAUUCGGAGGAACACCGGUGGCGAAGGCGGCCAACUGGGCUUUAACUGACGCUGAGGCUCGAAAGUGUGGGGAGCAAACAGGAUUAGAUACCCUGGUAGUCCACACUGUAAACGAUGAUAACUAGGUGUGGGGGGUCUGACCCCUUCCGUGCCGCAGCUAACGCAAUAAGUUAUCCACCUGGGGAGUACGACCGCAAGGUUGAAACUCAAAGGAAUUGACGGGGACCCGCACAAGCAGUGGAUUAUGUGGUUUAAUUCGAAGCAACGCGAAGAACCUUACCAGCACUUGACAUCCGACUAACGAAGUAGAGAUACAUUAGGUGCCCUUCGGGGAAAGUCGAGACAGGUGGUGCAUGGUUGUCGUCAGCUCGUGUCGUGAGAUGUUGGGUUAAGUCCCGCAACGAGCGCAACCCCUGCCAUUAGUUGCUACGCAAGAGCACUCUAAUGGGACCGCUACCGACAAGGUGGAGGAAGGUGGGGACGACGUCAAAUCAUCAUGCCCCUUAUGUGCUGGGCUACACACGUAAUACAAUGGCCAUCAACAAAGAGAAGCAAUACCGCGAGGUGGAGCAAAACUAUAAAAAUGGUCUCAGUUCGGACUGCAGGCUGCAACCCGCCUGCACGAAGUUGGAAUUGCUAGUAAUCGUGGAUCAGCAUGCCACGGUGAAUACGUUCCCGGGUCUUGUACACACCGCCCGUCACACCAUGGGAGUUGGUAACACCCGAAGUCAGUAGUCUAACCGCAAGGAGGACGCUGCCGAAGGUGGGAUUGACGACUGGGGUGAAGUCGUAACAAGGUAGCCGUAUCAGAAGGUGCGGCUG